GCGUGAGACUUGGCAGCCCUGGAUCAUAUUUUUCAUUUAGUGUUAAGAUUUUAAAAUCUCAACUCAACAUAUCGAGACAAACAAUGAUAUUCCAUACUGUCAGUACUUAGCUACUGAGACUACUAUAGCUGCUGUGGGUUCAUUUAUUUCCAUUGGUACUAAUUUUAGAUUUUUAGUGGAUUGAGAAAACAUGGAAAACUUUUCUUGGAUAU
rnacentral:lncRNA from 1 species